AAGAUUUAUUAUUAACCAACUUACUACAAUAUGUAUAGAAAUGCCCAUGCAUUAUAAAAGGAAAAUUUCGACAUCUGGUCAUUAUGAACGGAGAAAUUGCUACAGCCAGUCAUUACGAGAUCUCAGUCAUGCAUUACGAAAUCUCAGUCAUGCAUUACGAAACCCACACCCGUGCAUUACGAAAUCACAGUCAUGCAUUAUGAACAGUUGAAACGGGACAUCGAUUAAAACAAAAUGUCGUUUAUUUCUGUAAAUAAGUGUGACAUUUUUUUAUUCUUUUUUAAACUAAUAAUAUCAUAAAAAUAAGUUUAAUAAAUGAUGUUCAUUAACAUUGUUUUGUAACGAC
rnacentral:lncRNA from 1 species